UGGGGACAGAGAGGGAGGAAGCAACUGUCUGGUUUUUUCAACACUUUUAAUUAGGGACUGCGUAGACCAUGAAGAAAAUGAGAAUUUCCUUGUCAAAGGUGAGGCUGAGACACAAAGCAAUUUGGAAGAAGAUGAUGGCCAGAAGCUAACAAAGGGAACCUGGAUUCAUUCCAAGAUGUGCUACUAAACUGUGAGCUCCCCAGUUUCAUUAAGGUGCCUGGUAGGUACAAGUGGAAAACUUGGAGCAGGCUCUGAGAAGAGCAGUACGUGGG